GACUCUGCUCCCCAAUGGUCCCCUGCUAUGCCAAUAAGGCAGCUUACAGCCAAUCACUGAGCAGGAGAGAAUAGGGCUGGACUUUCUACCAGCCAGGUGGGGAGGGAUUAAAAGAUAGAAAGUAGGAGGAUUCAGCCAUGGGCAGAGGUCUAGGAGAUACCAGGAGAGGACAUCAGUAGGAAAGCUACAAGGUUCAAGUAUCCUGGGAUGGAUGCUGGGAGGAAACCAGAUUAACCUAGAGGGUUAAGAGUAGAGAGAUAACUGCUCAGUUCUUGUGUUGUGAAGCUUAUUAUAAACAAAUAUAAAGAGUCUCAAUUAUUCACAUGAUAGCCCAGUUAAGAGUGAAACCAGGAGAAACAAACACAGUUAAUAAAAAUAACUGUAAUAGGUACUAAACUCAAGUUAUCAGGUUUCACUGCAAGUGCCUUUACCUGGUGAGCCAUUAUGAUCUGAGGGAAUUAACUUCUCCUCUACCAUCCCUGCUGCUUACCUGGCCCAGCCACAGCAGGCCCAUCCCAAAGGCUCUGCUACCUGAUGCAUGGUCUCCUGGCAUCUGCCUUUCCUUCCUAAAACUUACGUUCUAUUUGGCCUUUUAAAAAUGGGAAAUGUGAUUGGCUAUGUUCUCAGGCUUUAAGUCAUUUCACAGGUCAAACCCACACAAGGAUAAACAAAAAAAAUCAGUGGAAUGAAACAGAAAUGGACUCCAUCACAAGUGAGAACUCAGUCCCCGUGAGGACAACAUCUCAAACUGACAUGGAAAAAGAGGCCAUUCAGUCACUGAGCUGGAUGUACAGGUUCUCCCUACACAGGGGCUCCUGCUGUACCUUGACAGGGUUUGGGAUCGCCUCUGGCCAGGCCUGUGAGAAACCAUUGCAUUGACUGAGAUGGGAAGAUCCAUCUUACUGUAGGUGGUGUUACAUGAAGGACACAUAUAAGCUCACCAAGAAUUGGGUAGUGCUACAUACAUGUGGUAUUACAUGAAGG